UCAAGAGCAUUGGCUACCACUAUCUAAUCUAGACGUGUCUUGGGCUUCCAUUGGAUUUUAGUCUCUUCUUUUGUUAUACGAAGCCAACUUGUGGAGACAACUGGACAUUUGUGUCAAAAGGUUGAGGUUUUAAAGAAGGCCUUAGCAGAAGCUUUGGUUACAUACUACGCUCUUGCUGGUGAGAUAGUUCCAAACUCCAUGGGUAAACCUGAGAUUCUUUGCAAUAACCGUGGGGUAGACUUCAUUGAAGGUUUUGCAGAUAUAGAACUUCAAAACCUCAACUUGUAUAGAGCUGAUGAGACCAUUGGUUGCAAACUAGUACCGAGGAAGAAGAAUGGCAUCAUGAUGGCUGUUCAGCCCUCCAUUCGGACACGCCAGAAGAUUGAUUUGUGGAUUGGGUUCUACAGUUUUUGUUCGUGGGGUUUGUGAUGCUUAAACUUGGACCAUUUUGGUUUUUGCAUUUUAUUGCUCUUGUAAUAAUGUAACCUGCAUUAGUCUAUUGCAAUAUAUUGCUUAUCUUUCUAAUGGAAGUCUAAAUGGGAUGCUUCCUACAUUUUAA